AUUGAACGCUGGCGGCAUGCCUUACACAUGCAAGUCGAACGGCAGCACGGGUGCUUGCACCUGGUGGCGAGUGGCGAACGGGUGAGUAAUACAUCGGAACAUGUCCUGUAGUGGGGAAUAGCCCGGCGAAAGCCGGAUUAAUACCGCAUACGAUCUACGGAUGAAAGCGGGGGACCUUCGGGCUUCGCGCUAUAGGGUUGGCCGAUGGCUGAUUAGCUAGUUGGUGGGGUAAAGGCCUACCAAGGCGACGAUCAGUAGCUGGUCUGAGAGGACGACCAGCCACACUGGAACUGAGACACGGCCCAGACUCCUACGGGAGGCAGCAGUGGGGAAUUUUGGACAAUGGGCGAAAGCCUGAUCCAGCAAUGCCGCGUGUGUGAAGAAGGCCUUCGGGUUGUAAAGCACUUUUGUCCGGAAAGAAAUCCUUGGCCCUAAUACGGUCGGGGGAUGACGGUACCGGAAGAAUAAGCACCGGCUAACUACGUG
rnacentral:rRNA from 1 species